rnacentral:lncRNA from 1 species
GACUUCGGGUCAGGCAAGAGUGCACGACCAAGGAACGAAGUAGGCAGUACGUGGUGCUAUACCUUUGCUACUCAGUGGAGUAGGCAGCAGGGUUGAUGGAGAAGACAAUACAAUCCCAGAGGCAACCAAAUCUAUUAUAAAAUUACUCCAAGUUGGGGUGAAAACUUCCUGCAUUCCAGAAGUUCAAUGGCAUUGAGAAGGUGAA